rnacentral:lncRNA from 1 species
GCAUCAAUCUUGCACUUACAAAGCCAAGAACUGAUCUUAAAAUUUGUUCAACAUCAGAACAUGGUAUAGUCACAAGUGGUUGACCCAAUACCAAACUAAAUUUGGGUGUCGACUCACUAGACUCGUUACCAAAAAACAAAUCCACCGCAAACGCUAUAACUUGGAUCUAGACAUUUAGAUAAACAUCAAAAUUCUAGUCCAUAUAAGCAACAUAAUCAUAUGUGGUUGACCACUCCCAACAUGGGGUAUCGACUCACAAGACUCAUCAUCACAAAUGUUACCUACACAGUUUCAUCAACGAGCGUAGUACCAUCGUUCUGACCAUCAAUCAAAUCUUAUUUUUUUCCCUUUAAUCAUACUCAAAAUCGAAUCUGUUCACGAAUAAACAAAAACAAAUUAGUAUACUAAAUAAAAACCAGAAAUUAAAGAUCAAGCAAUUCAAACAAAUA